rnacentral:rRNA from 1 species
CCUACGGGUGGCUGCAGUGAGGAAUAUUGGUCAAUGGACGAGAGUCUGAACCAGCCAAGUAGCGUGAAGGAUGACUGCCCUAUGGGUUGUAAACUUCUUUUAUAUGGGAAUAAAAUGUUCCACGUGUGGGAUUUUGUAUGUACCAUAUGAAUAAGGAUCGGCUAACUCCGUGCCAGCAGCCGCGGUAAUACGGAGGAUCCGAGCGUUAUCCGGAUUUAUUGGGUUUAAAGGGAGAGUAGGUGGAUUGUUAAGUCAGUUGUGAAAGUUUGCGGCUCAACCGUAAAAUUGCAGUUGAAACUAGCAGUCUUGAGUACAGUAGAGGUGAGCGGAAUUCGUGGUGUAGCGGUGAAAUGCUUAGAUAUCACGAAGAACUCCGAUUGCGAAGGCAGUUCACUGGACUGCAACUGACACUGAGGCUCGAAAGUGUGGGUAUCAAACAGGAUUAGAUACCCUGGUAGUC